rnacentral:rRNA from 1 species
GCAAGUCGAGCGAUAAUGCUAAGAUUAAUCCUUCGGGAGCGAGAAUAGCAUGAAAGCGGCGGACGGGUGAGUAACGCGUGGGUAACCUACCCUACACACAGGGAUAGCCAUUGGAAACGAUGAUUAAUACCUGAUAACACCAAAAGAUCACAUGGUCUUUUGGUCAAAGAUUUAUCGGUGUAGGAUGGACCCGCGUCUGAUUAGCUAGUUGGUAAGGUAACGGCUUACCAAGGCGACGAUCAGUAGCCGACCUGAGAGGGUGAUC